ACCUGCUCAUUUCAGUGUUGUCUGCAAACAAAGUGGUAAAUCUGGGAUUCAGAGAGCAGGCCCAGUGGACUUUCAAUCAAGUAGCAUAACCCAGUGUAUCAUUGCCAGGAUGAAUAACUUCAAAUGGGAUUAAUCUCAUCUUCAGGAAGAUCCCACAUUAUUAUGUCCUUGCAGAAUUUCCUGGACUGGAGGAAGUUAAAAGGACCUUCUCUGUUGGAAUCCAGAUAAUAGAAUAAGAAUAGAAAAAAAAUGAAAAGAAAAUCAACGAGUAUACUAAACUGACUUGUAUGAUGAGUGUAAAGGUAAAGAGACUAGGAAGAGUGAAGAAAAUGCCUGUUCUUUCAUAAGCAAAGACUUGAAUGGGCAGGUGUUAUCAACUGGACUCCCUGUAACAUUCAUUGUUCCACAAGCAAACACACUUGAUGAUGAGGAAAUUAUUGGCCCAGUUUAAGGAUAAAGGCAAGUUCUGUAUGUACUUAAGCAUUUCUAGUGAAUCAUGUGAAUGUUCUGAACUGGGAAACUUCAAAAGCAAUUUGCCUUAAAAAUAUUAGGUAAUAAAUUAUAGUCUAUAUUAUAAUAAAGGUCCAUUUUUGUCAGGUCUAUAUUAGAAUUCUCUAGUGUUUAUAUGGUAAUUUGUCCAAUAUAGUCCUUUUUAACAACAUUCAAGCUUAAAAAGCUUGCCAUUGUCUUCAUUGGAAUAUAAUUAUUAAUUUUAUGACUAUGUUGUAAGUUAAAUGCUUAGCAUGGGAAAUUUCCCAUGUUUCAGACUCAUUUCUUUAUGAGAGCUAUGAAUUUUUAUGUUGUCAGAAAGCAGUAACUUUCUUGCAGUAUGCCAUAUUAAAUUGCUGACAAUAACAGAUUCAUUUCUCAAAACAAAU
rnacentral:lncRNA from 10 species